GCAUCAACUGCCCCUGCCUCACAGCUCUUAUUUCUGCCUUGGCUCUUGUGGGACAGCAGCUGCCAGCUCCUGCUCCAUGGCCCCCUAGAGAGCUGGCUGUCCCUGGGGGCUGGUACAGCUGGACUUGGCUGCUGCAGAGAACAGAUGCAAGGAUGUGCCACCCAUAGAAACCCCUCCACCAGUCAACAGUGCUACCCAGCACUUGGCAGCACACCUGUGUGACACUGGUAGAUGCUCCCUAGGCCCACAGAACCUGCUUCAAGUGCAGUCAGAAAGGUCACUGCACCAGCGUGGGAAGACUCAGCUGGAAAUACUGCUAGGGAAAUGACUUGAGCACUCUUGCAUGGACCAUGGAAAGAGCAGACCAAAAAGCAGCAUGGAGCCAGUGAGACUGCUACUAGGGCACUUGUGGGACUAGAAAAGCCAGUUGGCUUUUGCACAGCCUCUCACAGCUUUCUGCACAAGCAGCAGGGAAACUACAGCUCCCCCAACCCAACUAAAAUUGGUCUUUCCACCUUUGCUUCCUCCUGCACAACUGGACUGGGGCACCGUCACUAUUCGAAGGGCUGCAAGAGCAGCUUAGUGGUGAGUCCUGGGCAGAUGAGGGUGUGGGAAGGGGGCAAGAAACACCGUAUCUCAGAGCAGACAGUAGCCAAGAGGGAAAGGAAAAUUCACCAAGGCUGCUUUAUUGCUGCUAAGAGGAGGAGAUUCUGGUGAAACACCUCUGACACAGAAUUGUUUUCCAUUAAGGGAUCAAGUUGGGUUUUUUAUUUGGCAUGUUAUUUCACCCUUCAUGCCUGUAGCAUGACCAACCCUUUUCCAGACAUGUCUGCUGAUGGCAGGCUACAACUAGCUCUCUCCUAACUGUCCUGGUUUGUCUGAUGUUACAUUGGUUUGCCCUUUGGGCACAGCAGCUAAUCCAAUGGAUUUUCCUUCUCCAGAACUAGGGCGCUGCAGUCCGAAUGCUGCUUUAGUGCCUUCACCAAGGUGCUCCCUCAGAGCCUGGCCAGUCCUACCAGUGCUGUGCUGACAGGGGCUGGGGGCUGUCAGUGGAAGGGUUCUGCAGGGGCUACCUUCUGUCUUGCUGUGGAGUGGGAUAAGUAAAGAUGGGCACAACUCUGCCAACUUGAAGGGAUUCUUCUGGCUGAUGCCCACCCUGUUGGAACCCACCUGCUGUCAAACACUCCAAUUACAUGUCAGCUUCUCUUAGGCCAUGUU